UGGGGAAUAUUGGACAAUGGGCGAAAGCCUGAUCCAGCAAUGCCGCGUGAGUGAUGAAGGCCUUAGGGUUGUAAAGCUCUUUUACCCGGGAUGAUAAUGACAGUACCGGGAGAAUCAGCCCCGGCUAACUCCGUGCCAGCAGCCGCGGUAAUACGAAGGUGGCUAGCGUUGUUCGGAAUUACUGGGCGUAAAGCGCACGUAGGCGGAUCGAUCAGUCAGGGGUGAAAUCCCAGGGCUCAACCCUGGAACUGCCUUUGAUACUGUCGAUCUGGAGUAUGGAAGAGGUGAGUGGAAUUCCGAGUGUAGAGGUGAAAUUCGUAGAUAUUCGGAGGAACACCAGUGGCGAAGGCGGCUCACUGGUCCAUUACUGACGCUGAGGUGCGAAAGCGUGGGGAGCAAAC
rnacentral:rRNA from 1 species